AGAGUUGAAUGAGCAAAAAAGGUGAAAACUUGAAGCAUCAACUUGAUUCUGUCAACUACAAAAGAUAGACAAUGAUAAUGAAGUUGGGUUAAAAAUGAUGGCGAAAUGAAUUGGGAAGCAAGUCGAGUAAAGGAAACGGGAAUUCAUUGAGAGGAAACAAAUGGAUGAAAAGGAGUGACAUUAGAAGGAAGUUAGUUGAGUAGUUGGAAGAAUGGAAGAAGAUGAUGAUAAUGAUGAAGAGUGGCGACACAUCAGUUGGAUUAGAGUAACAAAGGAUUGAUUGAAAAUGAGUGAUGAACAAGUGAAAACAUUUCGCAUGGGACUUUGACUUAGGAUUGGAUAUUAUUUGGGGAUAAAAACAAGACCGAGGAUUGAAAGGGAUGAAAGUGAAAAAUGAGAGUUUCAAAGUUGGUCAGAAAAAAGAUGAAAUGGGAAAUCUGGUUUAGAUUGGGUAAAGUAGUAAAAAAAGAGAAGGAAAAGUGAAAUGUUUCCUUUGAGAUUUGCUCAUGAAAUGGCAAAUUCAGAGUUGAUUGAGAAACAGUCAAAGAUGAUCAAAGAUGAUAAUAUUUUUACAACCUUUUUUGCUUCCUUUUUUAGCUUAUUUUUUUGACUAAUAUUGUCACUCGAUUCUGGUUAGCAAUUGAUUAGAGGUUUAUUUUGUUUACUGUUUACUGACAAUCAUUUAUUUGUAACAUUUUGUUGGAAAAUAAUUUUACUAAAUUGUUUCAUUUUGAUUACUUACGGUGAUUGGACAAAGGCAUAUUCAUUGAUGGUUUCAAGAAUAUCUUGAAGGGGAACUUUAGUUGUUAAAGUGUUUCC